rnacentral:rRNA from 1 species
GACGAACGCUGGCGGCGUGCUUAACACAUGCAAGUCGAACGCUGAAGCUUGGUGCUUGCACUGGUUGGAUGAGCGGCGAACGGGUGAGUAAUACGUGAGUAACCUGCCUUUGACUCUGGGAUAAGCUUGGGAAACUGGGGCUAAUACCGGAUAUGAUAUGCCACUGCAUGGUGGUGUGUGGAAAGGGUUUUAUUGGUUUUGGUUUGGCUCACGGCCUAUCAGCUUGUUGGUGGGGUAAUGGCCUACCAAGGCGACGACGGGUAGCCGGCCUGAGAGGGUGACCGGCCACACUGGGACUGAGACACGGCCCAGACUCCUACGGGAGGCAGCAGUGGGGAAUAUUGCACAAUGGGCGGAAGCCUGAUGCAGCGACGCCGCGUGAGGGAUGACGGCCUUCGGGUUGUAAACCUCUUUCAGCACGGAAGAAGCGAGAGUGACGGUACGUGCAGAAGAAGCGCCGGCUAACUACGUG